GAUGAACGCUGGCGGCGUGCUUAACACAUGCAAGUCGAACGGAAAGGCUCCUGCUUGCAGGGGUACUCGAGUGGCGAACGGGUGAGUAACACGUGGGUGAUCUGCCCUGCACUUCGGGAUAAGCCUGGGAAACUGGGUCUAAUACCGGAUAGGACGAUGGUUUGGAUGCCAUUGUGGAAAGUUUUUUCGGUGUGGGAUGAGCUCGCGGCCUAUCAGCUUGUUGGUGGGGUAAUGGCCUACCAAGGCGUCGACGGGUAGCCGGCCUGAGAGGGUGUACGGCCACUGGGACUGAGAUACGGCCCAGACUCCUACGGGAGGCAGCAGUGGGGAAUAUUGCACAAUGGGCGCAAGCCUGAUGCAGCGACGCCGCGUGGGGGAUGACGGCCUUCGGGUUGUAAACUCCUUUCGCUAGGGACGAAGCGCAAGUGACGGUACCUGGAGAAGAAGCACCGGCUAACUACG
rnacentral:rRNA from 1 species